CUGGCUCAGCCUUAGCGUGAUUUCACAAGAAGCAGACCAUAUUAUGGAGCCAGCUGGGAGGGUAGAACCCUGCCUGUUCUCAAAAGACCACAGCAGGCAGAUUAUUGUCCAGGAGAACUUCUUCAUCUGGUUGGGGAAAGCAGAGGCAAGAGUUCUACCCACAGGGGACAGGAAUCAAAGGGGGAAACUCCUGGAACUGACUGAAACCACCCAAGGACGUGCCUUGCCAGCUGAGCACACUAGAGAGAGACACAGGCAGCAUUUCAUUGAGCAAGAUGCAGAAAAGGAGCACCUGAUACAAAAAGUCUUGCGCUGUUGCUCUGUCGUGUUUCUCCAGUGUAUCUGUGCCUUGUGAUACAUCGGUAGUUGUACAGUCCAUCUUCAUUUUGUACGUCUAAAAUAUACAAGGCUCCCGUGGAUGUGAUGAGAAAUCUAGGUCCUGAAAGACACAAGAGUUUGCAGGGUUUAAAAUAUCUGCAGGUUGUUACUCUCACACUGGAGGAUGGAGGACACAGGGCCUGAAGAUUUUUUUGUUGCCAGGUUUGAAGCUGAGAAUUCCAAGCUCACCAAGUGCUCAAAAGGAAUCAGUUAAUGUGUAUUUUAUUUGCACUUCAUGUGCAGAAACAGAGGGAGCUUUAAGGAAAAUGUGAGGAAUGAAGGAAAGAAAUGUGCCAUGGUCUAUAUGACAAUUAACAAACAUACAGGGAGCAUCUGAAGUAAAAUAAGGGGUAAAGAACUAAUGCAUUAACCCAGUUUAGUUCAGUAUUGUAGAAUGAUCUGAUGCAGUCCAGCAGCAGAGCUGUAGGGGUUAGAGAGGCAGGGAAUUUGCUCACACCUGCAAUGCCUGCAACUUAAGCAGCCCCAGUGUGAGGAGCAGUCCCACCCCACCCUGCCCAGCAAAGCCACAAUCUCCAAAACCAAACAAGUCUGACAUGUUCAAGGUCAGAGUUUCUACCACUCUUCUCUCAAAAUAAAAGUAUUACAGGUUACAUUUUCUUCAAAUAUGACUUUUUUAUUAUUAUUAUUAGCUCUAGAAUAUGUGGAAAACACCACUGUUUAUAUGGUCACAUGAGCAGUU
rnacentral:lncRNA from 1 species